rnacentral:tRNA from 1 species
GCCGUUGUGGUAGCUCAGUGGUUAGAGUAUCGAACGCAUUAUUCGAAGGUCGUAGGUUCGAUUCCUGCUCACGGCU